rnacentral:rRNA from 1 species
AUUGAGCGCUAGCGGGACGCCUUACACAUGCAAGUCGAACGGCAGCGCGGACUUCGGUCUCGCGGCGAGUGGCCAACGGUUGAGUAAUGUAUAGGAACGUUCCCAGUAGCGGGGGACAACUACUCGCACGAGCAGCUAAUAGCGCAUACGCCCUACGGGGGAAAGGGGGGGAUCCCAAGACCUCUCACUAGCGGAGGGGCCGAUAUCGGAUUAGCUAGUUGGUGAGGUGAAGGCUAACCGAGGCGACGAUCCGUAGCUGGUUUGAGAGGACGAGCAGCCACACUGAGACUGAGACACGGCGCAGACUCCUAAGGUAGGCAGCAGUGGGGAAUUUUGGACAAUGGGGGCAACCCUGAUCCAGCCAUUCCGCGUGUGCGAUGAAGGCCUUCGGGUUGUAAAGCACUUUUGGCAGGAAAGAAAUCGAACGGAUUAAUACUCUGUGUGGAUGACGGUACCUACAGAAUAAGCACCGGCUAACUACGUGCCAGCCGCCGCAGUAA